rfam:Acinetobacter brisouii CIP 110357 genomic scaffold adgTE-supercont2.1, whole genome shotgun sequence.
GGGCCUAUAGCUCAGUUGGUUAGAGCAGCGGACUCAUAAUCCGUUGGUCCACAGUUCAAGUCUGUGUGGGCCCA